rnacentral:lncRNA from 1 species
CAUCCGAGGCUCCGCGCGCGCCCCGCCCGUGGGCCCGCGGGCUGCUUGGAGAGAGUGCGUUGUAGCGCGUCUCAAACUCUUAUUAAUCGCCCGGUGUCUGCGCUAGGAUGGAUCAGCGGGAAACGGGUAAUUCCAACACAAUCCGGAGACAGGAAUGCCCCCAGAAGCAAAGGGACAAAGAGGGGCGGCCUAAAUCAGGGUGGUGCGCUCGUCAGUGUUUAACACCCGGCCUCUGAUUUGCAAGUUUAUUGGCAGACCAGUGUAUCUAACAUGGCUGGACGUGUUACUGGAACAUCCAGGUGGAGAUGCCCAGCAGGCAGUUGGACAUGAGGAAGCCUCAAGCUCACACGUCCAGGCUGGAGAUUGAUGAGGAGUCUUCAGCAGUUUACACAAGAUGAGGCUCUGAACGUGGAUACUGACACGCGAGUGACUGAAAGCACAGGCAGAAGAGGGGCCUCUGGGGCCUGGAAAGGAGCCAUCCCAGAGACAGGGGAACCAGGAGAGGGCCGUGGAGACCAAGAGCCUGUGGACUUGUUCCCUCCAACACCUGCAGGGAGGCUGCUGGCCUGGAUACAGGUUUCUAGACAAGGGAAAGGGCAAAUCACCUCACUCUCAGGACCUUUUCAUCACCUGUAA